rnacentral:tRNA from 1 species
GGGCUUGUAGCUCAACGGUUAGAGCAGGGGACUCAUAAUCCCUUGGUUCCGGGUUCGAAUCCCGGCGGGCCCACCA